rnacentral:rRNA from 1 species
AUCAUGGCUCAGAGCGAACGCUAGCGGCGAGCUUAACACAUGCAAGUCGAGCGGAGGGUUUCGGCCCUCAGCGGCGGACGGGUGAGUAACACGUAGGUUACGUGCCUUUGGUGGGGAAUAACUUAGGGAAACCUGAGCUAAUACCGCAUAUGCCCUUCGGGGUGAAAGUCUUCGGACGCCAGAGGAUCGGCCUGCGGCCCAUUAUUUAAUCCUUGUUGGUGGGGUAACGGCCUACCAAGGGUACGAUGGGUAGCUGGUCUGAGAGGAUGAUCAGCCACACUGGGACUGAGACACGGCCCAGACUCCUACGGGAGGCAGCAGUGGGGAAUAUUGGACAAUGGGGGAAACCCGUGAUCCAGCUACGCCGCGUGGGUAAUGAAGGCCUUCGGGUUGUAAAGCCCUGUCGAGGGGGACGAAGUUCUGACGGUACCCCUCAAGAAAGCACCGGCUAACUCCGUG